GGUGCAUCAGGAGGUUAUGCGCCCGCAGGUGUGUCUGCUGCUUCUGCUCCGAACCGCGUUUAAAAUCUCACGCUAGACUUACCGGUUACGCACAGAUGAGCGGCCGCCUCUCUUUUAAGGAGAUAAAACUGUGAGAGUCAAACCGGCUCUUGUGAAUUCUUUUGUUUCCCGCAAGGAAAACGACAUGCACACUCGGCCUUACCAUGUCCUGGUUGUUGGCCAUGUGGAUUAGCCUCGGCUUCCUGCUGCUGUGCCAGGCAACUCUCUACCAGACCAUCCAACAGCACCAUGUGGCCCGGCCUGGUCGCACUGACAUUCUCACCCUGGAGGGUGGUACGUGCGAGGUGAUUGCUGCCCACCGAUGCUGUAACAAGAAUCGUAUCGAGGAGCGCUCUCAGACAGUCAAGUGCUCCUGUUUACCGGGGAAAGUGGCCGGGACGACACGCAACAAACCCUCCUGUGUGGAUGCGUCCAUUGUAAUUGGGAAAUGGUGGUGUGAGAUGGAACCGUGUCUGGAGGGAGAAGAGUGUAAGACUCUGCCUGACAACUCUGGAUGGAUGUGCUCCUCUGGGAACAAAAUCAAGACCACAAGGUGCUUGGUGACAAUGACUUUGAAUAGCAGCAGAGGCUAAUGUGAUAGUAGAGAAACGGGGAACAGCCAGUGAAGGCUAGACGUCAUGGGGCUUCCCAAGGUUGUUCUGUAGAUUUAUGUGCCAGCAGAUAGACAUAAAGCUUUCAAAGGGGCCCCUCACAGCCAUCGCAGGCUUAAAAUUUUCAGAAAGGAGUUGAUCGAAUGGGGUCUUGCCAGCUUGUCAAGAACACCCAGCCAUACUCCCCUUUUUAGCUUCCGGAAGCAAAAUGCAGAGGAUGCGUCAACAGAAAUUGAGCUGCAUUCUUGCUUCUGUAAAGAUUCAUCCCAGGACCUAACAGAGAGCUCCCAUUGCAGGGCUCAGCGCCAGGCUCCUUCCCCUCAUGUACCCUUUCUCUUCUCAUCGAAUGGACUAAAACUAUUACAUCCACGACUACUGACUGGAUUACCUGGGACCAUAGAAAGGAUAUCCACCCAGAUAAAACGGCUUUGCUCGCGUGGUGCCAAGGAUUUGAAACCAGACUAAUCCCGUGUUUGAUCAAUGAGCUCCAUGUUGGUGACUCUCCUCUUCCACACAGCUGUGGCCAGUUUCUGACCUACUCUUCCCUCACUCUGUUUCCCUCUACAGAACUGAAGCAGCUUAGCAGGGGCUAUUUAGAGGUUGUUAAAACAUAAUUUGAAGACGUUCUCCCCGCCCGUCUGAGGGUGAACUGGCUGGCAAACUUUCAUAGACCUGAACAUGCAAUCUGUGGAACUGAGGGCACAUUGGGGGAAAUUACGUCGCUUUAUUUUUAUUUCUGUGUGGAAAGCAUUUGUAUUUGACUCACUACCUGAGACUGAUGGCUUUGUUGUGGCUGCACCGAGGAAACCAUCAGCUGUAACCGCUAGAAGCCCAUAGUCGAUUAAUGAAGACUCUCAGAGAGGCUUUAGGGUCAACCCCAUGGCCUCACCCUCAUCCUCCACGACGAACAUUCUGACUUUUAUUGGUGGGCAUGCCCAGUGUAAAUUCAUGAGCACUUCUUUUCUUUGUAUGUAAGAUAAUUUGUGUAUAUAUACACAUAUAUAAAUACAUUACAUGUUAAGAUGACAGAUCCAAGAAGCUGAAAAAUAUAUUUACAGAAUUCAAGCCCCGUGUUGGAAUCCUGAAUAACCCUUAAACAUGAGCCAGAGGCUGUCGUCACAGUGCGGUGUGUCUAGGACUGCUUCGCAUUGGAAGAAAAAGCCACAGCGGAAUCAUAAAAAUAAGUUCUGCUCACUUUUGUCAUUCAGCAAUGUUGUUUGGUUACUCCAGAAAGCGCUUGUUGUUUCAGUAAAGCUGAGGAAAACACUGUAUAGAACUGCCUCACUAAAGAAAGCAGCAACACCCACCCAUGACCUUUCCCCUCAGACACAUCAGAGAAACUCUGACCAUAAUAGGACAAUUAAGUUUCUGCAGCGGAGAGCGGUCACGGGUGAGAGUGUCUGUAAUGUAGAUGUUCCUCUUACACACACCAGAGAGAUGAUUUAUUCAAAGUGACAGUGAGAAAGUAUUAGUCACAAAGGAGAAACAUAGUUAUCCCCCAGUAGCUAUAAGUACAUUACAGGACAGCCUUA